rnacentral:rRNA from 1 species
GACAGAGGUGCCGAGCGUUAGGCGGAAUCACUGGGCUUAAAGCGUGUGUAGGCGGGCCGUUAAGUGUCUUGUGAAAUCCCCCGGCUCAACCGGGGAAUUGCUGGGCAUACUGGCGGUCUUGAGCGAUCUAGGGGCAGAUGGAACAAGUGGUGGAGCGGUGAAAUGCGUAGAUAUCACUUGGAACGCCAAAGGUGAAGACAGUCUGCUGGGGAUCUGCUGACGCUGAGACACGAAAGCCAGGGGAGCGAACGGG